GAUGAACGCUGGCGGCGUGCCUAAUACAUGCAAGUCGAGCGCACAGACGAGACGCUUGCUUCCUUGACGUUAGAGGCGGACGGGUGAGUAACACGUGGAUACCUUACUUAUAUGACUGGGAUCACUUCGGGAAUACGGAGCUCACAACGGAUAAUAGCUUGAUACGCAUGGUUCCAUAGUGAUUGACGGUUUUGUUGUCUCUCAUCGCUAGAUCCUCGCCGCAUUAGCUAGUUGGUAAGGUAACGGCUAACCACGGAAACGAUGCGUAGUGCACCUCCGAGGGUGAUCGGCCACACUGGAACUGGAACACGGUCCAGACUCCUACGGGAGGCAGCAGAAGGGAAUCUUCGGCAAUGGGCGAAAGCCUGACGGAGCAACGCCGCGUGAGGGAGGAAGGUCUUCGGAUCGUAAGACUCUGUGAUUGGGGAGGAACAGAGGGAUAAGUAACUGUGCACGUCUUGACGGUACCUAAUCAGAAAGCCACGGCUAACUACGUG
rnacentral:rRNA from 1 species